rnacentral:lncRNA from 1 species
ACAGUGACCAACCUGGAGGGGACUGCCCACUCUGCCCCAGCAGCAUCUGUUAGCCUCCCCACACCUUCACCAGGCUCCCCCAGAACCACCUCUAACCAGAUGACUCAUCUUUCAUUUCCAGACUGGUCUUGGCUCUGAGCCUCAGACUGGAGGCCUCAUCUUGGGGACAAAUGGAGCUGCCAAUUCCCACAAACCUGCUCCCCCUGCCACAGCUUCCCUUCUCCCGUGAUGUGACCGUGUGCCCAAGCUUCGGAGUGGAGUUGUGCCUGUCCAGCCAGGAUGAUGCUCUGUGGGACCUUCCUGGAUGGAGUCGGCUAAAGAUUUUGAACCUUUACUCAUCAAAACCCAUCUUCUGAAACGGCUCAUUCAACUGUAACCUCCCAGUGGGAGCUCCCGGGGCUUCUCUCCAGGUUCUUGGAACAGGCACCGAUUUGAAAUUUCCAUGCACAUUCAGAAAUGCUCACCCAAGCAGCAGCCUUAGGUGGAGUCCGAAGGGUCCAUUCCCGACCACCGGAGACACACACCUCAGGAAGCAGUGGUCGUUCAGUGGGGGAGGUGUGAAAUGCUGAAAGGCAGAGGUUUGCUCAGACACAAUUUAUGUUACCUGAAAAAAAGAAUUAUGCUGCACCAGGGCUUUUUGUUGCACAUACUGAUCUCUCCCUGUUGUUGAUUCGGUUUUGUUGUUGUUCUCUAAGUUUGACUGUCGCAUAUCUGAAUUAAAUACUUUCAUGAA